GGGUAAUUCUUUAUUUUUUGUGUGCAUGGUAUUAGACAGAGGCAAGCUAGUAGCAUCACAACAGCUCCAACAAGCGUAUCCACAUUAGAUAUUCAGCAUGUACAUGGCAUAUGGAAAUUCUGCACAUUUUUGUAUUUAGCAGGUAAAACUAGCUAAAGAAACACUUCUAGGUAUGUAUAAAAAUAGAGUAACGAUGAGAGCUAUCUAGACAUGGUGAUAGUAGUUAGACAGGAGAAUAGACCAUCACAGACAGCUCCAGAAAAUAUAUAGUUAAUAUUUAUUUAAUAGCUUGGUAAAUUAGAAUGUCAGCUGUAGCUCACUAACACAUUUAUGUACGAGUAAAGAAAACUGAGGUGAGACAGAAGGGGUAAAAAAAGCAGGCUGAAGAAUUUGAGGAAACACACCCUAUUGAAGGUUGGCAUACUGGGUUAUAGUGUGCAAUCCAGAGCCUCAGAAUGGCAUUCAAGGAAUACCCUUACCAGGUAAAUUACAGUCUUACGUAGCUUGAAUUUGCAGGCUCUGCACUGAAGGCGGAAUCAGCAGGGUUUGUGGCUGCAUGUGCCUCCCCCUGUCCUCUACCAUUCUCCACAUUUUUGUUAUGAUGGGCAUGGAGGGUUCAGAGUCCACUGGUGUACUUCCUUGCUCUUGGUGUGCCAGCAUGACCUUGAGUGCUCACUUUUCUGUUGUCUAUGGCCUUCCGUUUGCAUGCUCUGUCUCGCUGGGGAAUUCCUUGGAUGGCUCGUAGCUUAGGUGGUCCACUGCUACGUGGAGCCGGUGCUGGUGCAGACUCUCCAUCCGACUUUGCCUUGGGACUCAUCUGGGUAGUGGCUGUGUCCGCAAGCCUCUGCUCUCCUAUGCUGGUUUUAACUCCAGAAUUGCUCCCAAAAUCUGACAAAUGCUCUGUCAAGUCGGUCUACCCAUGUGGCCUAAGAUGGCAGAGUCUGAAGCAUGGAGGGCCUCCCGUCAGUGGCCAUCUUGGUGGAGUGAUAGCUGGUGUGUAUUUCCGUGGGGAGCUAGCAGCCCAGUGCUG